UACGUAGGGUGCGAGCGUUGUCCGGAAUUAUUGGGCGUAAAGAGCUCGUAGGCGGUUUGUCGCGUCUGCUGUGAAAAUUCGGGGCUUAACUCCGGGCCUGCAGUGGGUACGGGCAGACUAGAGUGCGGUAGGGGAGACUGGAAUUCCUGGUGUAGCGGUGAAAUGCGCAGAUAUCAGGAGGAACACCGGUGGCGAAGGCGGGUCUCUGGGCCGUAACUGACGCUGAGGAGCGAAAGCGUGGGGAGCGAACAGG
rnacentral:rRNA from 1 species